rnacentral:rRNA from 1 species
AGCCCUAAACACAAAUAAUUAUAAAAACAAAAUUAUUCGCCAGAGUACUACCGGCAACAGCCCGAAACUCAAAGGACUUGGCGGUGCUUUAUACCCUUCUAGAGGAGCCUGUUCUAUAAUCGAUAAACCCCGAUAAACCUCACCAAUCCUUGCUAAUACAGUCUAUAUACCGCCAUCUUCAGCAAACCCUAAAAAAGGGACAAAAGUAAGCUCAAUAAUAACACAUAAAGACGUUAGGUCAAGGUGUUAACCUAUGGAGUGGGAUUAGAUGGGCUACAUUUUUUACCCAAGAAAAUUUAAUACGAAAGCCAUUAUGAAAUUAAUAGCCAAAGGAGGAUUUAGCAGUAAACUAAGAAUAGAGUGCUUAGUUGAAUCAGGCCAUGAAGCACGC